AAACUUACCUGACGCGAGAGGCACCUUGAUCAACUAGGAGGUCCUCUCAGGAUGAGGUCCUUUCAGGAUGAGGCCCUUUCAUUGCACUUCGACUGGGUUGACUCCUGCGAUUACCCCUAAUGUGGGUAACUCGAGCGUAUAAUUUCUGGUAGUGGGGACCUGUAAGCGCUUCGAGUCUUUG